UACGUAGGUGGCAAGCGUUGUCCGGAUUUACUGGGCGUAAAGGAUGCGUAGGCGGACAUUUAAGUCAGAUGUGAAAUACCCGAGCUUAACUUGGGUGCUGCAUUUGAAACUGGGUGUCUAGAGUGCAGGAGAGGUAAGUGGAAUUCCUAGUGUAGCGGUGAAAUGCGUAGAGAUUAGGAAGAACACCGGUGGCGAAGGCGGCUCUCUGGACCGAUACUGACGCUGAGGCGCGAAAGCGUGGGGAGCAAACAGG
rnacentral:rRNA from 1 species